UGCAACCACAUCAAGUUGAAACACCAGUUCCCAUACAAUUACUAAAGUUAAGCAACAUCAAGCCUGGUGAUUACUUAGAUAGGUAACCGCUUGGGAAUACCAGGUGCUGUAAG